rnacentral:rRNA from 1 species
GACAGAGGAGGCGAGCGUUAUCCGGAGUCAUUGGGCGUAAAGGGUACGUAGGCGGCUAGUCAAGUCUGAGGUUAAAGACCACAGCUUAACUGUGGGAAGGCCUUGGAAACUGACUGGCUAGAGUGGGGCAGGGGUUGCGGGAAUUCCCGGUGUAGCGGUGAAAUGCGUAGAUAUCGGGAAGAAAACCUGUGGCGAAAGCGCGCAACUGGGCCCUCACUGACGCUGAGGUACGAAAGCUAGGGGAGCGAAUGGG